rnacentral:rRNA from 1 species
AGAGUUUGAUCCUGGCUCAGAACGAACGCUGGCGGCAUGCCUAACACAUGCAAGUCGAACGAGACCUUCGGGUCUAGUGGCGCACGGGUGCGUAACGCGUGGGAAUCUGCCCUUGGGUUCGGAAUAACAGUGAGAAAUUACUGCUAAUACCGGAUGAUGACGUAAGUCCAAAGAUUUAUCGCCCAAGGAUGAGCCCGCGUAAGAUUAGCUAGUUGGUGGGGUAAAGGCCUACCAAGGCUACGAUCUUUAGCUGGUCUGAGAGGAUGAUCAGCCACACUGGGACUGAGACACGGCCCAGACUCCUACGGGAGGCAGCAGUGGGGAAUAUUGGACAAUGGGCGAAAGCCUGAUCCAGCAAUGCCGCGUGAGUGAUGAAGGCCUUAGGGUUGUAAAGCUCUUUUACCAGGGAUGAUAAUGACAGUACCUGGAGAAUAAGCUCCGGCUAACUCCGUGCCAGCAGCCGCGGUAAUACGGAGGGAGCUAGCGUUGUUCGGAAUUACUGGGCGUAAAGCGUACGUAGGCGGUGAUUCAAGUCAGAGGUGAAAGCCUGGAGC